GACGAACGCUGGCGGCGUGCUUAACACAUGCAAGUCGAACGAUGAACCGGGUGCUUGCACCUGGGGAUUAGUGGCGAACGGGUGAGUAACACGUGAGUAACCUGCCCUGGACUCUGGGAUAACCCCGAGAAAUCGGAGCUAAUACCGGAUAGGACCUUUCCUCGCAUGAGGUUUGGUGGAAAGUUUUUCGGUUUGGGAUGGACUCGCGGCCUAUCAGCUUGUUGGUGAGGUAAUGGCUCACCAAGGCGUCGACGGGUAGCCGGCCUGAGAGGGUGACCGGCCACACUGGGACUGAGACACGGCCCAGACUCCUACGGGAGGCAGCAGUGGGGAAUAUUGCACAAUGGGCGCAAGCCUGAUGCAGCAACGCCGCGUGCGGGAUGACGGCCUUCGGGUUGUAAACCGCUUUUAGUAGGGAAGAAGGGCUUCGGCUUGACGGUACCUGCAGAAAAAGGACCGGCUAACUACGUGCCAGCAGCCGCAGCAAUAA
rnacentral:rRNA from 1 species